UACAGCCACAUCACAUUGAAAACACCAGUUCCCAUACAAUCACCAAAGUUAAGCAACAUUAAGCCUUGUCAGUACCUUAAUGGGUGUCUGCUUGAAAAUACCAGGUACUGUAAG